UAGGGAAUCUUCCACAAUGGGCGCAAGUCUGAUGGAGCAACGCCGCGUGAGUGAAGAAGGCUUUCGGGUCGUAAAACUCUGUUAUUGAAGAAGAACGUGUGUGACAGUAACUGGUCAUGCAGUGACGGUAUUCAAUCAGAAAGUCACGGCUAACUACGUGCCAGCAGCCGCGGUAAUACGUAGGUGGCAAGCGUUGUCCGGAUUUAUUGGGCGUAAAGCGAGUGCAGGCGGUCUUUUAAGUCUGAUGUGAAAGCCUUCGGCUUAACCGAAGAAGGGCAUCGGAAACUGGGAGACUUGAGUGC
rnacentral:rRNA from 1 species